rnacentral:rRNA from 2 species
GCGGGAUGAGCUCAAAUUUGAAAUCUGGCUGGUUUACUAGUCCGAGUUGUAAUUUAAAGAAGCGUUUUCGGUGGCAGCCUGGGUAUAAAUCCUUUGGAAUAGGGUAUCAUAGAGGGUGAGAAUCCCGUCUUUGACCUAGUGCAUGCUACUAUGUGAUACGUUUUCAAAGAGUCGAGUUGUUUGGGAAUGCAGCUCAAAAUGGGUGGUAAAUUUCAUCUAAAGCUAAAUAUUGGCGAGAGACCGAUAGCGAACAAGUACCGUGAGGGAAAGAUGAAAAGAACUUUGAAAAGAGAGUUAAACAGUGCGUGAAAUUGUUGAAAGGGAAACGUUUGACACCAGUCAUGUGGGUGGAAAAUCAGUCUUUUGCAUUGGGGAGUUGUAAAGGUUCGGACCGCAAGGCCGGCUUUUGCUUCAUCUUUGGUGUAAGGGAUGCACUUUUUCAUCUACAGGUCAACAUCAGUUUCUUUUGCUGGACAAAACUCCGAGAGAAGGUAGCAGCUUAGGCUGUGUUAUAGCUCUGGAGCGAUACAGUGAAGGGGACUGAGGUUUUCGCAGCGUGUGCUCUCGGGCAAGGCUGGAUGGGUGCUAUGGGAUCGUUCGGGGUACAAUGCCUGGCAUUUUGCUUCGUGUCUUUUCUAUACUCGCUCAACUCAGCU